rnacentral:rRNA from 1 species
UACGGGGGGGGGCAAGCGUUGUUCGGAAUUACUGGGCGUAAAGGGUUCGUAGGUGGCCAAUUAAGUCAGACGUGAAAAUCCCUCAGCUUAACUGGGGGAACUGCGUCUGAGACUGGAUGGCUUGAGUGCAGGAGAGGAACGCGGAAUUCCAGGUGUAGCGGUGAAAUGCGUAGAUAUCUGGAGGAACACCGGUGGCGAAGGCGGCGUUCUGGACUGCAACUGACACUGAGGGAAACGAAAAGCCAGGGGGAGCAAAACGGGG